GUGGGGAAUAUUGCACAAUGGGCGCAAGCCUGAUGCAGCGACGCCGCGUGGGGGAUGACGGCCUUCGGGUUGUAAACCUCUUUCAGUAGGGACGAAGCGCAAGUGACGGUACCUACAGAAGAAGCACCGGCCAACUACGUGCCAGCAGCCGCGGUAAUACGUAGGGUGCGAGCGUUGUCCGGAAUUACUGGGCGUAAAGAGCUCGUAGGUGGUUUGUCGCGUUGUCCGUGAAAUCCCACAACUCAAUUGUGGGCGUGCGGGCGAUACGGGCAGACUGGAGUACUGCAGGGGAGACUGGAAUUCCUGGUGUAGCGGUGGAAUGCGCAGAUAUCAGGAGGAACACCGGUGGCGAAGGCGGGUCUCUGGGCAGUAACUGACGCUGAGGAGCGAAAGCGUGGGGAGCGAACAGGAUUAGAUACCCUAGUAGUCC
rnacentral:rRNA from 1 species